AAUUUUCUUUUACAUAUGUCACUAUUUUGCAACUAUAUGCCUUUAGAUAGUUACAGUUUAGUCGCACAAUUUGGCUCUAAGGUCCAAUGUUUUUUAAUAUAGCGCUCAUUUUCUAGGGAAUAGAUUUUCGAUACCCAAAUCGUCUUUCUUCAUUUUAGACCUUUAUGUUCAUCAUUUUUUUCUUUUCUUCACACUCCAAUCUCAGAAUUUUCUCUUCACCUAAUUUUGAUUGUCUUCACACUCCAGUUUGCUAAAGUCUUUAGAUAAUCACACUUCAUACUCAGAAUUAUGUAUAACAUGAAAAGGUUGGUGUUUGGUGACAGUUGAUCUUUGGUCUGAGAUAAUUAGAUCAGAGGAAGAAGACGGAGAUGGGUUCAGAGAAGUACCUCAGGUCGAGGUUUAUCAGAGAAGGAAGAGGCUUGAGAAGCCUUCCGCAGCCGAAAAUUUGUAAUUUUGGGGAAAAAAAAACCUUCCGUUUGUUGUUGUUUUCGGCUCUGUAAUCUAACAAUGUUUUAAUUUCGAUGUGUGUCUGAGAAACAGAGUGUGGUCGGUGAAAGGGGCUCGAACUAGUUUUAUCAAUGGACCCAAGAGAGAUACUGGACUCGUUCCCUCUCCACCAGAGGGAGGGGAGUAUAGCAGUGGGAGCUUAUGUCAACAAUCAGCCUCAGAAGAAGCCUGUUAGGAGAAAGAAGCCUGCACCACUCGGUAAUGGGUUCUCUCCUUUUCUCCUUCAUAUUGUAGAUUUGGGUUCUUCUAAUUCUAGAUGUUUAAUAAAAUAAAAUUGUGUGGUCUCUUUGAUUUGUGGAUUUGUACGAAGGUAAUGUCGUUCCUUCAGUCGGUGGAGUCUGGUGUUUUUUGAGCUUGUAAGUGUCAAAUGGUGAGCACUCACUUUAUCUUAGCUCCUUGCCUGCGAUCCAUUUGAUUAUUAGGUCUUUCCUUUCCCAUCCAAUGAUGCCCGGUCUAAUUCCAGAGAAGAAUACCUGCAAACACACAUAUCCAGUUCAUAUUUGCAAAAGUUUGGUCUUAAUGGUUCCGGUUCGAAACUGAAACGAAAGAUUUUAAAGUCGACUUCUUCUGCAUUUAUAGGAAUUUAAAAUAUUUCAAUUGUUGUAUUUCUAUCUUUUGAUUUUCAAAUUAAGUUCGAAGUUAAUAUAUAAAUUCUGAUUCCAAAACUAAUAUUAUAAUAAAUUUUUAUUUCUAAAUUAAUAUUUUUUUUUAAACAAGAAAUUCAAUUUAAUUUUUUAUUGGUCACUAAAUUAUGCAACUAAUUUAUAAGCAUAUAUCAAUAAUGUGGCUGCUAAAUAGUCGCAAACCACUGCAACUAAUUUGUAACUAAAAAUAAAUAUUGUAGUAACAAAUUAGUUACUUAAAUUAGCCACUAACUUAUAAAUCUACAUUAUAAUAGGGCAGUUGCAUCACUCCUGAUGCGACACGUCAGUAAUAUGUGGAUCCCACUUUUAAAAAGUGUGAAAAAGUGUCAAGUCUGUGACUCGAACCCGGGUUAUUAAGAUCUAAACAACAACAAUUAUACCACUGAGCUAAAGGAUUCUUUGUACAUUGAUGGCUGACACAAAUAUAUAUUUAUGAUGGUCGGAAACCUUUGCUUCUUCGGUUUUCUCUGUGGGACCCACACUUAUUUAUUUUAUCUAAUGAUUUAAUAAAUACUUUAUAACUCACGUUUUGAAAUGAGAUUCGUUAAAAAAAGCCCAAUAAACCUCUUUGGUCUGUAAGCGUUCUCUUCAAUGGAAGUUUAGGGCUUUCAAUUUUUAAUCAUCGGUUCAUGACUCAUCUAAGAAAUACAGAUUGACUCUUUGAGUUUCAUGAAUCAAUUUUUCUUCUUUAGUCUCUACAUCUCCCCAUCUUUAAUAAAUUCAUCAUCGGUUCUUUUAUUUUGCCUGAUAAAUCAUGAUUGUGUGGUUUUAAUUUUCUUUGGUCAUCGUCAUCCUUAGCUUGCACCCUUUGAUCUAACCAAGAAGAAGAAGACAUUUGUCGUUCAGGAUGCCAUCGAGGACUCAGCUGAGUCACACGGGAGACAUACUAUUUGUUGCCUGAUUGUUCAAGAAGAGUUUAUGUGCUGUGAAACAUAUUUGUUUCUUUUCAUCAGUUGCUUUGUUUAAUCUUUUUUCCUGCAAAUAAUGAUGGUUUUGACAGUUCAUUCACGGGAGCCAAGAAGUAAAAGAAGAAGAAGCCAGUUGAAUGAAGAUCAUUGAAUAAAAAAAAUGUCGAUGCUCCUGAAGAUUUGGAGGAGUAUCCUAAUGAUGAGGAAGAGGUGGAGGGAAUUGAUAUGCACCAGCAACGUUACCCGUGGGAGGAAAGUGACAUGGAUUACUUAUACGACGAGGUAAGCAUAUCGUUAGAUGGUUUGCGGUCCAUCUUUGAGAGUCGUCGAUUGUAAGUGUCUAUCGUUUUGAAGUUGUACGACACUAAGAUGUAAAGAAUUACUAAUCAUGAUUACCUUACUAGCAGAGUUCUUUUGCACAGCUAUUGUAAAUGAAAUUAACACUGAAAAUUGAUGGUGCUAUAUUUCAUGUUCCAAAUGCUAACACAAGCUCCAAUGUUGAUUCUCAGCUUUAACAUGCCAAAAUCACAAUGCAAUGGGUGUUGUAAGGUAAUUCAGUAGGCACAAAUGUUUAGUAGAAAUAUGCAUCAAACUUAUCAUCCGUAACAUAAUAAUAUGCAUUUUCUGUGCUAGGAACCGUUUGUAAAUAAAUGUCUGGGAUGUAUAUGACUGCUUAGUUUGUUGCUUUUGACAGUGAAAUCACUAAGCUUGCAAAGUGUCAGGACAACAAAAGCAUCUCAGCUGAUGGUUAGCUUUACAAUUUCGUUGGUUUCUUUUUCCUAUUAUGUUGGGUGGAUUAUUUUAGCUAACAAAUAUCGCAACAGAGUGCUGACAAUAACUCUAAUUGAUUUAUAUAUACAUUUAGAAUUGGAAGUUUGGUGAGAACAGGAACAAGUACUUCUGUUACGCUAUUGGACAGUUAUACGCCAUUUCAAGAGAAUUGAUUUCUUUUUAUCUCAUAAUCAGUAAGAUUUUAACUGUUUUGUCUACUUUGCAUUCAUACCUCAUUCUCCAUCUAACUUCUCGGUGCUACUAUAUAAUGAUCAAGUCAUUUUCUGCACAAAUAGGCAAGUGGGGAUGUUACGUUGGGUGCUUGGUUUAUUGGGCUUGGCUAUACAAAGUCUGUUGUGACUCUAAAACUUUUACCUCAUUUAACAUUGAUUCUGGUUCUUGGGAGAAUUACAGAUUGUGAAUGAAAGGCACAAGCAAGGAACAUAUGUGUAGCUGCGUUCAACUCGACAUGUAGCGGUAUCUGCAGAUCCGCUGAUCCCAUUGUGGAGGUUAACAUGCAAUGUGUUGACCUGGAAAUCAUUAUUUGGAAGCUACAUUUCGAGGCAUUUUCUUAACAUAUAAAUAGACCAUAGACAGAGUUUGAUAUUUAUAAUACUCAGUGAUCAUGGAGUCUACAGAAAACAGUCCUUUUGCAUAUUCUAUAUGGAACCAAGAGAUAUGUCAUUUGUUUGAUGAUUGUAUUAUGAUAGCUACUAACAUAGGAGAUGACUGGAGAAAGAGAAAUGAGUAUGAAACUCUUAUAUGGGUAGCUUUUGUAAACACAUUUGGGUUUAUUAACAGUUGUGACAAGAAAUUAUGUUUAUAGUAAAAGAAAUCCGCCGCAGCGUCAAUAACAAAUGCGCCUGUUUUUUUGUUGUUUGGGAUUGAAAUAGCUUAUGGGUUUUCUAAAUCAAUAUAAUUGAUUUGACUAAAGCUAUAUUGGAUGACAAAAAGAAGGAUUGCAAGUUUAAUAACUUCUGCUUUAGACUUUAAUUUCAACUAAAUUAUAAUCAGUCUUUUAUCCAUCAUCUUAGUUAUAAUCGUAAGGAUUUAUUAGACUAAAUAAACAGUUUCAACAAUAUUUAAUAUGUGAUUUAAUAAACAAAAGAACAUGUAUGAUUUUUAGGAUUUAAAGAGAUUGGAGACAAUAGUUAAUGAAUAUAUAAAGAAUACGAAGCAGAUGAUGAAAAAUGAUUCGAGCAAAUUAGUGGCAACACAGAGCUAAGCG